UCUGGUUGAUCCCGCCGGAGGUCACUGCUAUUGGGGUUCGACUAAGCCAUGCGAGUCCAGAGUGGUCACUCGGCAGACGGCUCAAUAACACGUGGGUAAUCUACCCUCAGGACAGGGAUAACCCCGGGAAACUGGGGAUAAUACUGAUAGGUGGAGAGAUCUGGAAGCCUCUCCGCCGAAAGCUCCGGCGCCUGGAUGAGCCUGCGCCCGAUUAGGUUGUUGGCGGUGUAACGGACCACCAAGCCUUAGAUCGGUACGGGCACUGAGAGGUGGAGCCCGGAGAUGGGGGCUGAGACACGGCCCCAGGCCCUACGGGGCGCAGCAGGCGCGAAAACUCCGCAAUACGCGCAAGCGUGACGGGGGAACCCCAAGUGCCUCACUUUUUGGUGAGCUUUUUCAGAGUGUAAACAGCUCUGAGAAUAAAAGCGGGGUAAACCGGUGCCAGCCGCCGCGGUAACACCGGCCGCUCAAGUGGUGACCGCUAUUAUUGGGCCUAAAGCGUCCGUAGCCUGUUCGGUAAGUCCUUGGGUAAAUCCUGCCGUUUAACGGUAGGAAUUCUGGGGAUACUGCCGGACUCGGGGUCGAGAGAAGUCGGAGGUACUCCGGGGGUAGCGGUGAAAUGCUGUAAUCCUCGGGGGACCACCAGUGGCGAAGGCGUCCGACUAGAGCGGGCCCGACGGUGAGGGACGAAAGCCAGGGGAGCGAACGGGAUUAGAUACCCCGGUAGUCCUGGCCGUAAACGCUGUGGGCUAGGUGUUGCAUGCUCUACGAGGGCAUGCAGUGCCGUAGAGAAGUUGAUAAGCCUACCGCCUGGGAAGUACUACCGCAAGGUAGAAACUUAAAGGAAUUGGCGGGGGAGCACCACAAGGGGUGAAGUCUGCGGUUCAAAUGGAGUCAACGCC
rnacentral:rRNA from 1 species